rnacentral:rRNA from 1 species
UACGAAGGGGGCUAGCGUUGCUCGGAAUCACUGGGCGUAAAGCGCACGUAGGCGGCUUUUUAAGUCGGGGGUGAAAUCCUGGGGCUCAACCUCAGAAUUGCCUCCGAUACUGGCAGUCUCGAGUGCGGGAGAGGUGAGUGGAAUUCCCAGUGUAGAGGUGAAAUUCGUAGAUAUUGGGAAGAACACCAGUGGCGAAGGCGGCUCACUGGCCCGUAACUGACGCUGAGGUGCGAAAGCGUGGGGAGCAAACAGG